rnacentral:rRNA from 1 species
CCUACGGGUGGCUGCAGUGGGGAAUAUUGCACAAUGGGCGCAAGCCUGAUGCUGCCAUGCCGCGUGUGUGAAGAAGGCCUUCGGGUUGUAAAGCACUUUCAGCGGGGAGGAAGGCGUUAAGGUUAAUAACCUUGUCGAUUGACGUUACCCGCAGAAGAAGCACCGGCUAACUCCGUGCCAGCAGCCGCGGUAAUACGGAGGGUGCAAGCGUUAAUCGGAAUUACUGGGCGUAAAGCGCACGCAGGCGGUCUGUCAAGUCGGAUGUGAAAUCCCCGGGCUCAACCUGGGAACUGCAUUCGAGACUGGCAGGCUAGAGUCCUGUAGAGGGGGGUAGAAUUCCAGGUGUAGCGGUGAAAUGCGUAGAGAUCUGGAGGAAUACCGGUGGCGAAGGCGGCCCCCUGGACAAAGACUGACGCUCAGGUGCGAAAGCGUGGGGAGCAAACAGGAUUAGAUACCCUAGUAGUC